rnacentral:tRNA from 1 species
GCCUGGGUGGCUCAGUCGGUUAAGCGUCCGACUUCGGCUCAGGUCAUGGGGGUUCGAGCCCUGCCUCAGGCU